GUCCAGACUCCUACGGGAGGCAGCAGUGGGGGAUAUUGCACAAUGGGGGGAACCCUGAUGCAGCGACGCCGCGUGGGUGAAGAAGCGCCUCGGCGCGUAAAGCCCUGUCAGCAGGGAAGAAAAUGACGGUACCUGAAGAAGAAGCCCCGGCUAACUACGUGCCAGCAGCCGCGGUAAUACGUAGGGGGCAAGCGUUAUCCGGAAUUACUGGGUGUAAAGGGUGAGUAGGCGGCAUGGUAAGCCAGAUGUGAAAGCCUUGGGCUUAACCCGAGGAUUGCAUUUGGAACUAUCAAGCUAGAGUGCAGGAGAGGAAAGCGGAAUUCCUAGUGUAGCGGUGAAAUGCGUAGAUAUUAGGAAGAACACCAGUGGCGAAGGCGGCUCUCUGGACUGAAACUGACGCUGAGGCACGAAAGCGUGGGGAGCGAACAGGAUUAGAUACCCUGGUA
rnacentral:rRNA from 1 species